AGUGAACGCUGGCGGCAGGCCUAAUACAUGCAAGUCGAGCGGACACAGGAGCAUCGGGCUGCUCGCACGUGGCCGACGGGCGAGGGAUGAACACGUGUCUAACCUACCGAUGGGAAUGAGCUAGGGUCACGAAACCGAAUAUAAUACACGAUACUAUAGUGAACGGCGGGGAUCGAUAGACAAAGAGCGUUUUGCUGACACUAAGUGCGGUUUCCGCGCCGCAUUAGCUAGUUGGUAAGGUAACGGCGUACCAAGGCAACGAUGCGUAGCCGACCUGAGAGGGUGAUCAGCCACACUGGAACUGAGACACGGCCCAGACUCCUACGGGAGGCAGCAGUAGGGAAUAUUGCGCAAUGGGCGCAAGCCUGACGCAGCAAUGCCGCGUGAGUGAUGAAGGCCUUCGGGUCGUAAAACCCUGUUAUUCGGGAAGAAAAAGUGUGUACGAAAACCUCGACGUGUUGACGGUACCGAAUCAGAAAGCACCGGCUAACUACGUG
rnacentral:rRNA from 1 species